AUUGAACGCUGGCGGCAGGCCUAACACAUGCAAGUCGAACGGAUGAAGCGAGUUUGCUCCUGGAUUCAGCGGCGGACGGUUGAGUAAUGCCUAGGAAUCUGUCUUAUCGUGGGGGAUAACGUCCGGAAACGGGCGCUAAUACCGCAUCCGCCCAUUGGGAGCAAGUGGGGGAUCUUCAGACCUCCCGCCUUCUGAUUAGCCUAGGUCGGUUUAGCUAGGUGGUGGGGUAAAGGCUCACCAAGGCGGCGAUCCGUAACUGGUCUGAGAGGAUGACCAGUCACAUUGGAACUGAGACACGGUCCAGACUCCUGCGGGGGGCAGCAGUGGUGAAUAUUGGACAAUGGGCGAAAGCCUGAUCCAGCCAUGCCGCGUGUGUGAAGAAGGUCUUCGGAUUGUAAAGCACUGUAGGUGGGGAGGAAGGGCAGUAAGUUAAUACGUUGCUGUUAUGACGGUACCAAGAGAAUAAGCACCGGCUAACUUCGUG
rnacentral:rRNA from 1 species